GACGAACGCUGGCGGCGUGCUUAACACAUGCAAGUCCAACGGAAAGGCCCUGCUUUUGUGGGGUGCUCGAGUGGCGAACGGGUGAGUAACACGUGAGUAACCUGCCCUUGACUUUGGGAUAACUUCAGGAAACUGGGGCUAAUACCGGAUAGGAGCUCCUGCUGCAUGGUGGGGGUUGGAAAGUUUCGGCGGUUGGGGAUGGACUCGCGGCUUAUCAGCUUGUUGGUGGGGUAGUGGCUUACCAAGGCUUUGACGGGUAGCCGGCCUGAGGGGGUGACCGGCCACAUUGGGACUGAGAUACGGCCCAGACUCCUACGGGAGGCAGCAGUGGGGAAUAUUGCACAAUGGGCGGAAGCCUGAUGCAGCAACGCCGCGUGCGGGAUGACGGCCUUCGGGUUGUAAACCGCUUUCGCCUGUGACGAAGCGUGAGUGACGGUAAUGGGUAAAGAAGCACCGGCUAACUACGUG
rnacentral:rRNA from 1 species